rnacentral:tRNA from 2 species
GGGCCUAUAGCUCAGUCGGUAGAGCAGCGGCCUUUUAAGCCGUUGGUCGCAGGUUCGAGUCCUGCUGGGCCCACCA